rnacentral:rRNA from 1 species
CAAUAGCGUAUAUUAAAGUUGUUGCGGUUAAAAAGCUCGUAGUUGGAUUUCUGCCGAGGACGACCGGUCCGCCCUCUGGGUGAGCAUCUGGAUCGGCCUGGGCAUCUUCUUGGGGAACGUGUCUGCACUUGACUGUGUGGUGCCGUAUCCAGGAUUUUUACUUUGAGGAAAUUAGAGUGUUUCAAGCAGGCGCACGCCUUGAAUACAUUAGCAUGGAAUAAUAAGAUAAGACCUCGGUUCUAUUUUGUUGGUUUCUAGAGCUGAGGUAAUGAUUAAUAAGGAAGGUUGGGGGCAUUGGUAUUUAACUGUCAGACGUGAAAUUCUUGGAUUCGUUAAAGACGGACUACUGCGGAAGCAUUUGCCAAGGAUGGUUUAAUUGAUCAAGAACGAAAGUUAGGGAUCGAAGACGAUUAGAUACCGU